rnacentral:rRNA from 1 species
GAUGAACGCUGGCGGCGUGCCUAAUACAUGCAAGUCGAGCGAAGCGGGGACGGGAGAGUAACACGUGGAUAGCCUCCUAUAAGACUGGGAUAACUUCGGGAAACCGGAGUUAAACCGGACACUUAUAGCUGGAUCCGAGCUGCAUUAGCUAGUUGGUAAGGUAACGGCUUACCAAGGCAACGAUGCAUCGCCGACCUGAGAGGUGGAUAGGCCACACUGGAACUGAGCCACGGUCCAGACGCCUACGGGAGGCAGCAGUAGGGAAUCUGCCGCAAUGGGCGAAAGCCUGACGGAGCAACGCCGCGUGAGUGAUGAAGGUCGUAGGAUCGUAAAACUCUGUUAUUAGGGAAGCGGUACCUACUCAGAAAGCCACGGCUAACUCCGUGCCAGCCGCCGCGGUAAUAC